rnacentral:sRNA from 1 species
CUAAAACAGAAGACCAUAGAACUAACACGAGCAUGUCAGAAGCAAUAUGAGCUGGAACAGGAAUUGGCCUUUUAUAAAAUUGAUGCUAAAUUUGAGCCACUAAAUUAUUAUCCAUCAGAGUAUGCUGAAAUUGAUAAAGCCCCAGAUGAAAGCCCUUACAUUGGCAAAUCCAGAUACAAGAGAAAUAUGUUUGCCACAGAGAGUUAUAUUAUUGACAGUGCUCAGGCAGUACAGAUCAAGAAGGUGGAGCCAGAUGAACAACUUAGAAAUGAUCACAUGAACUUGAGAGGCCACACACCACUGGACACGCAACUGGAAGACAAAGAAAAAAAAAUAAGUGCAGCACAAACUCGACUAUCAGAACUGCAUGAUGAAAUAGAAAAGGCAGAACAACAAAUUUUGAGAGCUACUGAAGAAUUUAAACAACUGGAAGAAGCUAUACAACUAAAAAAGAUUUCAGAAGCAGGGAAAGACCUUCUUUACAAGCAGUUGAGUGGUAGACUACAACUUGUAAAUAAAUUACGCCAGGAAGCUCUGGAUCUAGAACUGCAGAUGGAAAAGCAAAAGCAGGAAAUUGCCGGAAAGCAGAAGGAGAUUAAGGACCUGCAAAUAGCCAUAGAUAGCCUGGAUUCCAAAGACCCAAAACAUUCCCAUAUGAAGGCUCAAAAGAGGGGUAAAGAACAACAGCUUGACAUUAUGAACAAGCAGUACCAACAACUUGAAAGUCGUUUGGAUGAGAUACUUUCUAGAAUUGCUAAGGAAACGGAAGAGAUUAAGGACCUUGAAGAACAGCUUACUGAAGGCCAGAUAGCAGCAAAUGAAGCCCUGAAGAAGGAUUUAGAAGGUGUCAUCAGUGGGUUGCAAGAAUACCUGGGGACCAUUAAAGGCCAGGCAACUCAGGCCCAGAAUGAGUGCAGGAAGCUGCGGGAUGAGAAAGAGACAUUGUUGCAGAGAUUGACAGAAGUCGAGCAGGAGAGAGACCAACUGGAAAUAGUUGCCAUGGAUGCAGAAAAUAUGAGGAAGGAGCUUGCAGAGCUAGAAAGUGCCCUCCAGGAGCAGCAUGAGGUGAAUGCGUCUUUGCAGCAGACCCAGGGAGAUCUCAGUGCCUAUGAAGCUGAGCUAGAGGCUCGGCUAAACCUAAGGGAUGCUGAAGCCAACCAGCUCAAGGAAGAGUUGGAAAAAGUAACAAGACUUACCCAGUUAGAACAAUCAGCCCUUCAAGCAGAACUUGAGAAGGAAAGGCAAGCCCUCAAGAAUGCCCUUGGAAAAGCCCAGUUCUCAGAAGAAAAGGAGCAAGAGAACAGUGAGCUCCAUGCAAAACUUAAACACUUGCAGGAUGACAAUAAUCUGUUAAAACAGCAACUUAAAGAUUUCCAGAAUCACCUUAACCAUGUGGUUGAUGGUUUGGUUCGUCCAGAAGAAGUGGCAGCUCGUGUGGAUGAGCUAAGAAGAAAACUGAAAUUAGGAACUGGGGAAAUGAACAUCCAUAGUCCUUCAGAUGUCUUAGGGAAAAGUCUUGCUGAUUUACAGAAACAAUUCAGUGAAAUUCUUGCACGCUCCAAGUGGGAAAGAGAUGAAGCACAAGUUAGAGAGAGAAAACUCCAAGAAGAAAUGGCUCUGCAGCGAGAGAAACUGGCAACUGGACAAGAAGAGUUCAGGCAGGCCUGUGAGAGAGCCCUGGAAGCAAGAAUGAAUUUUGAUAAGAGGCAACAUGAAGCAAGAAUCCAGCAAAUGGAGAAUGAAAUUCACUAUUUGCAAGAAAAUCUAAAAAGUAUGGAGGAAAUCCAAGGCCUUACAGAUCUCCAACUUCAGGAAGCUGAUGAAGAGAAGGAGAGAAUUCUGGCCCAACUCCGAGAGUUAGAGAAAAAGAAGAAACUUGAAGAUGCCAAAUCUCAGGAGCAAGUUUUUGGUUUAGAUAAAGAACUGAAGAAACUAAAGAAAGCCGUGGCCACCUCUGAUAAGCUAGCCACAGCUGAGCUCACCAUUGCCAAAGACCAGCUGAAGUCCCUUCAUGGAACUGUUAUGAAAAUUAACCAGGAGCGAGCAGAGGAGUUGCAGGAAGCAGAGAGGUUCAGCAGAAAGGCAGCACAAGCAGCCAGAGAUUUGACCCGAGCAGAAGCUGAGAUUGAACUCCUGCAGAAUCUCCUCAGGCAGAAGGGGGAGCAGUUUCGACUUGAGAUGGAGAAAACAGGUGUAGGUACUGAAGCAAACUCACAGGUCCUAGAAAUUGAGAAACUGAAUGAGACAAUGGAACGACAAAGGACAGAGAUUGCAAGGCUGCAGAAUGUACUAGACCUCACUGGAAGUGACAACAAAGGAGGCUUUGAAAAUGUUUUAGAAGAAAUUGCUGAACUUCGACGUGAAGUUUCUUAUCAGAAUGAUUACAUAAGCAGCAUGGCAGAUCCUUUCAAAAGACGAGGCUAUUGGUACUUUAUGCCACCACCACCAUCAUCAAAAGUUUCCAGCCAUAGUUCCCAGGCCACCAAGGACUCUGGUGUUGGCCUUAAGUACACAGCCUCAACUCCUGUUAGAAAACCACGCCCUGGGCAGCAGGAUGGGAAGGAAGGCAGUCAACCUCCCCCUGCCUCAGGAUACUGGGUUUAUUCUCCCAUCAGGAGUGGGUUACAUAAACUGUUUCCAAAUAGAGAUGCAGACAGUGGAGGAGAUAGUCAGGAAGAGAGUGAGCUGGAUGACCAAGAAGAACCCCCAUUUGUGCCUCCUCCUGGAUACAUGAUGUAUACUGUGCUUCCUGAUGGUUCUCCUGUACCCCAGGGCAUGGCCCUGUAUGCACCACCUCCUCCCUUGCCAAACAAUAGCCGACCUCUCACCCCUGGCACUGUUGUUUAUGGCCCACCUCCUGCUGGGGCCCCCAUGGUGUAUGGGCCUCCACCCCCCAACUUCUCCAUCCCCUUCAUCCCUAUGGGUGUGCUGCAUUGCAACGUCCCUGAACACCAUAACUUAGUAAGUGGAAAGACAUACAACUCUGUUUCCACACUGCUUCCAUGGGUGACUGAUAAGGUUAUAUACUUAAUGAGUUGACCUAUUUAUGACUGGAUUAUAUGGCAAAGUGUGUUUGUAAGGCUGAUGUUUAGAACUGUGCAAGCAUUCUCUUAUUAAAAUUCUCUUAUAAAA